rnacentral:rRNA from 1 species
UCUAAGUUUGAUGGCGACCGGCGCACGGGUGAGUAACACGUAUCCAACCUGCCGAUGACUCGGGGAUAGCCUUUCGAAAGAAAGAUUAAUACCCGAUGGCAUAGUUCUUCCGCAUGGUAGAACUAUUAAAGAAUUUCGGUCAUCGAUGGGGAUGCGUUCCAUUAGGUUGUUGGCGGGGUAACGGCCCACCAAGCCUUCGAUGGAUAGGGGUUCUGAGAGGAAGGUCCCCCACAUUGGAACUGAGACACGGUCCAAACUCCUACGGGAGGCAGAUG